GCUGAUGGCUGCGGCCUUGGCUUUCCGCUCCUCCACAGGCAUGCUGUCCAGCUUCGUGGCCUUGAAAGGCAUACAGCCAAAAGGAUAACUGACUACCAGCUUAAGUGACAGUUCAAGUCAUUUAAAUUUUAACAUGGCCCAGCAAAAAAUGGCAUCUUGGCAAACACAAGCGUGCUGCAGACUCAAGGCCACGUGGACUUACAAUUGCUUGCUGCUCCUCAUCAGAAGAGUGGUGCACAUCAACCCACUCGCCAUCCUCCUCCUCCUCACUGAGGCUGGCGCUUUCCCAUCCAUCUGUGGGAAAGAGAACUCUUUACGUUGGGUAGUCACAAUAAGAUGAGAGCUGCUUUCCUGCUUCGAGCUUUAGGUGUCAACUGGAACUGCAGCAUUGUUCAAUCAUGAUGCAGGAAGCCCUCCAGCUUACCUUGGUGACCUUGGAGAAACACGCAGUUGUGAUAACAUUGACAGUUUUGGCAUCAUUCCUGGAAGAGAAACGACAUAAACCCAACAGUGAGUCCUUCUGACACUGGGACAGUCAAUCCUAGGAUUUAAAGUGCUAC
rnacentral:lncRNA from 1 species